rnacentral:rRNA from 1 species
CCCUAGUAACGGCGAGUGAAGCGGCAACAGCUCAAAUUUGAAAUCUGGCGUCUUUGGCGUCCGAGUUGUAAUUUGCAGAGGGCGCUUUGGCAUUGGCAGCGGUCCAAGUUCCUUGGAACAGGACGUCACAGAGGGUGAGAAUCCCGUACGUGGUCGCUAGCCUUUACCGUGUAAAGCCCCUUCGACGAGUCGAGUUGUUUGGGAAUGCAGCUCUAAAUGGGAGGUAAAUUUCUUCUAAAGCUAAAUACUGGCCAGAGACCGAUAGCGCACAAGUAGAGUGAUCGAAAGAUGAAAAGCACUUUGGAAAGAGAGUUAAAAAGCACGUGAAAUUGUUGAAAGGGAAGCGCUUGCAGCCAGACUUGCCUGUAGUUGCUCAUCCGGGUUUUUACCCGGUGCACUCUUCUACGGGCAGGCCAGCAUCAGUUUGGGCGGUUGGAUAAAGGUCUCUGUCAUGUACCUCCUCUCGGGGAGAACUUAUAGGGGAGACGACAUGCAACCAGCCCGGACUGAGGUCCGCGCAUCUGCUAGGAUGCUGGCGUAAUGGCUGUAAGCGGCCCGUCUUGAAACACGGACCAAGGAGUCUAACAUCUAUGCGAGUGUUUGGGUGUCAAGCCCGAGCGCGUAAUGAAAGUGAACGGAGGUGGGAACCUUUCGGGGUGCACCAUCGACCGAUCCUGAUGUCUUCGGAUGGAUUUGAGUAAGAGCAUAGCUGUUGGGACCCGAAAGAUGGUGAACUAUGCUUGAAUAGGGUGAAGCCAGAGGAAACUCUGGUGGAGGCUCGCAGCGGUUCUGACGUGCAAAUCGAUCGUCAAAUUUGGGCAUA